rnacentral:rRNA from 1 species
GGUGUGAAUUGCAGAAUCCCGUGAACCAUCGAGUCUUUGAAUGCAAGUUGCGCACGAGGCCAUUAGGUCGAGUGCACGUCUGUUUGGGCGUCAUGUAUAGCGUCAUUCCAAUCUCCCUCAUGCGACGAGUGCAUUUUGGGUUAUGAUGGAUAUGGAGAAUGACCUUCCGUGCUUUAAUUGUAUGGUAGGUUUAAGUGAUUGUCGUUGCCAGUUAUAUGUGAGGCGAAUGGUGUGUCGAGUUAACGCACGAUGUCUCUAAUCGCGUCCAUGAGACCUAGGCAUGACUUAGCACUAGCUAAAACCGAUUUCGAUGUUUGCUUUCGUAGCAGGCUCGGACCAUGACCUCAGAUCAGACGGGGCGACCCGCUGAGUUUAAGCAUAUCA